CGCCGCCCCCAUCUCCUUCUCCUCUAACGUUCGUCUUCCUCCUCCUCCUCAUCUACGUCCCAAACAACAGCUGCUGGUGGAGACUACAACACCCAAGGAUUAUGAAGAGCUUGUAUGUCAUAGGCAUAAGAAUUGUUUAGAGGAAGUGAGUAGGGUAUUCCACGAGACCAAGGAUCAAUUAGAUACAAUGUUAAUGAUUGAUUUCCUUCAGAGAUUAGGCAUUGACUAUCAUUUCAGUGAAGAGAUCAAAUCAAAAAUAGAUUCCUUAUGUAAUAAUCAUUUCAGUAUUAUCAAUGAUGGUUUACACAACGUUGUGAAAGUUACUCUUUUAUUUCGAUUAUUACGACAAGCGCGGCACCCUAUAUCUUCUAAUAUAUUUUCUAUCUUCUUGGAUGGCAAAGGAAACUUCUCGACAUCCCUUGGGAAAGAGAUCGAUGGAAUGGUAAACUUGUAUGAAGCAUCCUAUUUGAACACUGGUGAAGAAAUACUUUACAGAGCCAACACGUUUGCAAGUGAGCAUCUUAAAUCUUCCAUGGCAUGCUUGGAAUCAGACGAUGCCAGAUUCAUUCAGCAGACAUUGGAUUAUCCAUAUCAUAUGAGUUUGCAGAGGUAUAAAGCCAGGCAAUAUCUUGAUCAUCACCAUCAAGACAAAGGAAUGAGAAGAAUCAUUCAAGAACUAGCCAGGAUGGAUUUCAUUCUGAUUCAGUCUUUGCAUAAACAGG